GUUAUCGUCGAACCGAGUGAGUGUACGUGUACAUUGUUGCCUUUAUGGGCAUUGUUAUUACCUUCAUGUCGCCGUUUGACCGCGUAUAUUUUGUGAACGUUGUUUCAGUUGUUAUUUCACUCGCAUACAAUAUAGCCGUAAAGAUCAGUGUCACACACAGCAACUAUUCAAAAAAGUGGGAAAAAAAACGCCAUACAACAACAUAAAAAUUCAAGAAGUAUACCACGAUCACACGUGUAAAAAACAAGUUUUUUUGUUUAAAUAAAUUUCAACUCAUCAGUUGUUGUUUGACCGUCAUUUACGAAAGGUGAAAUAAAUUUAAAAGAAAAAGAAAUCAAGAUGAAGUUCGUUUUAUUAUUUGCAUUUUGCUGUGCUGCCUUCGCAUCAGUUUCUGGCGAUUUGACUGAUGAUGUAAAUUGCGGCGUCAUAAGAGCAAGGAGCAAGUUCGGGAGUGAGGGAGGCUUCGACAGCUUUAAAACCAGUCUUUUGGUCCUUAAAUGCGAUAUGGGAUUGGGUAGCAUGUCCGACAAUGCCUUUUUGAUUAUUUCGUAUAUAAUCAUUGCAAUCUUGGCACUGAUUGCUUUAAUGAUAAUCGUAUCGGUUGUAAAAUGCAUAUUCUGUGCAUAAAUCACAAUAUGCCCAAUCAGCUGAUUGUUGUAUAUAUACAGAUAGAAUGUAAAGCAAACAAAAUUGACAAAUGCCUAACGUUUACAAAAAUUGUAUAAAUUGCAUGUAAGAUCUUCUAUUUUGCAUAAAUUCAAAAUUGUGGGUUCGAAAGCAGCAAUGUUAUCCAAAAAAAAACGAACAAAAAACGAACAAAGUCUCUGAACUUUGGGUUAUGUUCUUUUCUGUGCUAUGCCAAAAUCAGCCAAUCUAAAUUAAAUGUUUGAAAUGAAUCUUUAAAAAUUUGAUAAAUUUUAAGUUUUCUUCUCUCUCUAAUAAUAUAUUGUAACAAUCGAUUUGAAAGCCAUUUUGAAUAAAGAGUGUUUUUUUGUAAUUUUAAAAAAUCUAAAAAGAAAA